UACGUAGGGUGCGAGCGUUAUCCGGAAUUAUUGGGCGUAAAGAGCUCGUAGGCGGUUUGUCGCGUCUGGUCGUGAAAGUCCGGGGCUUAACCCCGGAUCUGCGGUGGGUACGGGCAGACUAGAGUGCAGUAGGGGAGACUGGAAUUCCUGGUGUAGCGGUGGAAUGCGCAGAUAUCAGGAGGAACACCGAUGGCGAAGGCAGGUCUCUGGGCUGUAACUGACGCUGAGGAGCGAAAGCAUGGGGAGCGAACAGG
rnacentral:rRNA from 1 species